GACGAACGCUGGCGGCGUGCUUAACACAUGCAAGUCGAACGAAGUGGCGAACGGGUGAGUAACGCGUAAUCAACCUGCCCUUCAGAGGGGGACAACAGUUGGCAACGACUGCUAAUACCGCAUACUGAAGGAGGGGAUUGCGUCUGAUUGGCUAGUUGGAGGGGUAACGGCCCACCAAGGCGAAGAUCAGUAGCCGGUCGUGGAGGAGGAACGGCCAACUUUGGACUGAGACACGGCCCAGAACCCUACGGGAGGCAGCAGUGGGGAAUCGUCCGCAAUGGACGAAAGUCCGACGGAGCAAAGCCGCGGGAGUGAUGACGGCCUUCGGGGUGUAAAGCUCUGUUAAUCGGGACGCGGUACCGGAAUAGAAAGCAACGGCUAACUACGUGCCAGCAGCCGCGGUAAUUC
rnacentral:rRNA from 1 species